rnacentral:misc_RNA from 1 species
AACGCAAAUUGCACUCCUUGGUAUCCCGGGGAGUAUGCCUGUUUGAGGGUCAGUAUAAUAAAAAUCGGGGUGUUGCUCUCUUCGGGGUGACGCACCGGAGCUUGGGUUAUCUUAACCUUUUUUUAGGGGUUAAGAGGCUUUAAAUUGAUACCAUGUUUUGCGCACUCAUCUAGACGUACAUAAAUUUUUUUUUAUUCGUCUAUCCUGAUGCCAAAAAUUACUAGACGCGAUCGUACCGUAUGAUCCCGUGUCUAUAAAUUUCAUGAUUUGACCUCAAAUCAGGUAGGAGUACCCGCUGAACUUAA